rnacentral:lncRNA from 1 species
AAUAUUACAACAACAUAACAUACCAUAAACUCUUAUUUCUAGAAUAAACAAAAAACUCCUGAACUACUUCCUCUGUCCCAAAAUAAAUAUCACAGUUGUGAAAAUUAUUUAUUCUAUAAUAAGUGUCACUUUUAGUUUUCAAUGUAAUUUUAGUUUUUAUCUUCCAAUUAUAUCGUCUAAUUAAUACAUUUAAUUUGCCCUUUCUCUCGCAUUCCACUAAUGAUAAUAAGAAUACAC